GUCUCUUUGAAUAUAUUAAUAAUAAAGAGUCGAACCUGCCCAGUGAAAUUUUAACGGCCGCGGUACUCUGACCGUGCGAAGGUAGCAUAAUCAUUUGCCUUAUAAUUGAAGGCUUGUAUGAAUGGUUUGACGAAGGCAUAACUGUCUCUUUUCCAAUAACUAGAAUUUGAUCUACAGGUGAAGAAGCCUGUUUUACUACUGAAAGACGAGAAGACCCUGUCGAGCUUUAGAAAAAAACAAAAUAUAAAAUAUAAUAAUAAAUAUUAAAUUGUUAUUUAUUCAUUAGUUGGGGCGACUUGGGAACAAAAAAAGCUUCCCUAAAUUACUAUACAUAUGAGUCUAGAUCCAGAACUGAUCUGAUUAAAAGAAUUAGUUACCGCAGGGAUAACAGCAUAAUCUCUUUUGAGAGAUCUAAUCGAAAAAGGGGGUUGUGACCUCGAUGUUGGACUAGGUUAUCCUGAAGGUGCAGAAGCCUUCGAUGGUUGGUCUGUUCGACCAUAAAAAUCCUACG
rnacentral:rRNA from 1 species